UCCGGUUGAUCCUGCCGGACCCUACUGCUAUCGGGGUGGGGCUAAAACAUGCGUGUCGUACGUUUCCUAGCCAUGGUGGAAACGUGGCGUACGGCUCAGUAACACGUGGCCAAUUCACCCUUGGGACAGAGACAACCCCGGGAAACUGGGGCUAAUCCCUGAUAAGUGAUUAGGCCUGGAAUGGUUUAUCACUCAAAAGCCUUUUGACCAUGCUUAAGAGGUGCCCAAGGACAAAGCCGCGACCGAUCAGGCUGUUGGUAGGGCAACGGCCUACCAAACCUAUAACCGGUACGGGCCGUGAGAGCGGAAGCCCGGAGAUGGAUACUGAGACAAGGAUCCAGGCCCUACGGGGCGCAGCAGUUGCGAAAACUCCACAAUGCACGAAAGUGUGAUGGGGCUACCCCGAGUGCCGUCCGCUGAGGAUGGCUUUUCUCUGCUGUAAGGAGGCAGAGGAAUAAGGAGAGGGCAAGUCUGGUGUCAGCCGCCGCGGUAAUACCAGCUCUCCGAGUGGUAGGGAUGAUUAUUGGGCUUAAAGCGUCCGUAGCCGGCUUGACAAGUCUUCUGUUAAAUCCAGCAACCCAAUUGUUGGACUGCGGGAGAUACUGUCAAGCUAGAGAACGGGAGAAGUCGACGGUACUCUCAGGGUAGGAGUGAAAUCCUAUAAUCCUGGGAGGACCACCAGUGGCGUAGGCUGUCGACUAGAACGUGUCUGACGGUGAGGGACGAAAGCUGGGGGAGCGAACCGGAUUAGAUACCCGGGUAGUCCCAGCUGUAAACGAUGCGGGCUAGGUGUUGGGGUGGCUACGCGCCACUUCAGUGCCGCAGGGAAACCGUUAAGCCCGCCGCCUGGGGAGUACGGUCGCAAGGCUGAAACUUAAAGGAAUUGGCGGGGGAGCACCACAAGGGGUGAAGCUUGCGGUUUAAUUGGAGUCAACGCCGGGAACCUUACCGGGGACGACAGCAGAAUGAAGGCCAGAUCUAAGGUCUUGCUAGACGAGCUGAGAGGAGGUGCAUGGCCGUCGCCAGUUCGUGCCGUGAGGUGUCCUGUCAAGUCAGGCAACGAUCGAGACCCACAUCCAUUGUUGCGGCCGAGGAGGUUUCUCCGAGGAGCAAGACUGUGGAGACUGCCGCCGAUAAGGCGGAGGAAGGAGUGGGCCACGGCAGGUCAGUAUGCCCCGAAUUCCUCGGGCCACACGCGAGCUGCAAUGGCAGGGACAAUGAGCUUCCAACUUCGAAAGGAGGAGGCAAUCCCUAAACCCUGCCUCAGUUGGGAUUGAGGGCUGCAACCCGCCCUCAUGAAUCAUGGAAUCCCUAGUAAUCGCGCAUCAUCACUGCGCGGUGAAUACGUCCCCGCUCCUUGCACACACCGCCCGUCGUUCCACUCGAGUGGGGUUUGGGUGAGGCGUAGUCUUCUUGGCUGCGUCGAAUCUAAGCUUCGCGAGAAGGGAAAAGUCGUAACAAGGUG
rnacentral:rRNA from 1 species